AGCAGUUCGCCGGCUUCGUGCUCUUCGGAGCACAAGCUGCUAUUUCCCGCCCGUGAGAAAUUCGGAGUACGCUUCAACCUCACCUGUGCCUCGCCCUGUGCGGGGGUUCCACAGGUCUGUCCGUGAGGACCUCGCGUGACAUCACGCCUAUGAUUGGCAUCAGAGACGCAGGGCCUUCCCUUCCGUCUUAUCCCAACGGAGACGACGGUCGAGGUUGGUUCCUAUGGGAGAGUCGUCAUGAAGCUUGUGCGAAUCACUUCAGUGCAAUACACAGCCUCUUCUAUAGAGAAUUCAAUUCCGAUCACUCUGAU
rnacentral:RNase_P_RNA from 1 species